UUUAUAGAGAGUUUGAUCCUGGCUCAGGACGAACGCUGGCGGCGUGCUUAACACAUGCAAGUCGAACGAGAAUCUACUGAAAGAGUUUUCGGACAAUGGAUGUAGAGGAAAGUGGCGGACGGGUGAGUAACGCGUGAGGAACCUGCCUUGAAGAGGGGGACAACAGUUGGAAACGACUGCUAAUACCGCAUGACGCAUAGAGGUCGCAUGAUCUUUAUGCCAAAGAUUUAUCGCUUCAAGAUGGCCUCGCGUCUGAUUAGCUGGUUGGCGGGGUAACGGCCCACCAAGGCGACGAUCAGUAGCCGGACUGAGAGGUUGAACGGCCACAUUGGGACUGAGACACGGCCCA
rnacentral:rRNA from 1 species